rnacentral:tRNA from 1 species
AGCCCCGUCGUCUAGAGUGUCCCGUGUCACGCGUCCAGAACGCUAAACGGGAAACAGACUUUGGCCAAGGAUAGUGGACUUUGGAUCCAUUGACACCGGUUCGAAUCCGGCCGGGGCUA